ACAUGUCCUUUAGAGUUUAAUUUAAGGUCUAGCCUGCCCACUGAGAAGUUUUAAAUGGCCGCAGUAUUUUAACUGUGCAAAGGUAGCAUAAUCAUUAGUCUUUUAAUUGAAGGCUUGUAUGAAUGGUUGGACGAAAUAUUAACUGUUUCAUAAAAAUUAAUCUAGAAUUUUAUUUUUUAGUCAAAAAGCUAAAAUAAUUUUAAAAGACGAGAAGACCCUAUAGAUCUUUAUAUUUUGUAUAUUAUAAUUAUUUAGAUUAUUUGAGUUAUGAUUAUAUAAAAUAUUUUGUUGGGGUGACAUUAAAAUUUAAUUAACUUUUAAUUAAUAUUUACAUUAAUUUAUGAAUAUUUGAUCCAUUAAUAAUGAUUAAAAAAUUAAGUUACCUUAGGGAUAACAGCGUAAUUUUUUUGAAGAGUUCAUAUCGAUAAAAAAGAUUGCGACCUCGAUGUUGGAUUAAGAUAUAAUUUUGGGUGCAGCAAUUCAAUUAUUAAGUCUGUUCGACUUUUAAUUUCUUACAUG
rnacentral:rRNA from 1 species